rnacentral:rRNA from 1 species
GUUGUGUUCGGCACGUGCUGUUAGGUUGCAUCCUUGCUCGAACAGCGACGUCCUGACCCGCCUGCCAUCUCUGUCGCGGGGCAAGCGCAAUAUAGGCUUGCUCCAAGUCGGUUUCCUGUGCUGCAUGCAUUAUCAAGUUUUAUCGAUCGACUUUCGCCCCUCGUAUUUCGUACGCGGGGCGAAUCGAAAGGCCGCCCUCGCGUCCCACGCCUCCCUCGCUUCGUCGUGCGAUGUUGUGGUCCAUGAGCGGCGGCCCAGAUUCUCGGAUGUGGUAGACGCAGUGGGCAGUCGCGCUCGCCUUGAAUCCGUCUGCGCCCUCGCGGGUAGGCCGGGCUCAUGCGACGCCGGUGUCGAUGAGGAAUGCUACCUGGUUGAUCCUGCCAGUAGUCAUAUGAUUGUCUCAAAGAUUUAGCCAUGCAUGUGUUAGUAUGAACAAAUUCAGACUGUGAAACUGCGAAUGGCCUGCCAUGGUGGUGUCUUUGUCAAGAUGUUGGUUUUUGGACUCCGCCGGCACCUUAUGAGAAAUCAAAGUUUUUGGGCUCCGGGGGGAGUAUGGUCGCAAGGCUGAAACUUAAAGGAAUUGACGGAAGGGCACCACCAGGAGUGGAGCCUGCGGCUUAAUUUGACUCAACACGGGGAAACUUACCAGGUCCAGACAUAGUAAGGAUUGACAGACUGAGAGCUCUUUCUUGAUUCUAUGGGUGGUGGUGCAUGGCCGUUCUUAGUUGGUGAAGCGAUUUGUCUGGUUAAUUCUGUUAACGAACGAGACCUCAGCCUGCUAACUAGCUAUGCGGAGGUAUCCCUUCAUGGCCAGCUUCUUAGAGGGACUACGGCCUUUUAGGCCGCGGAAGUUUGAGGCAAUAACAGGUCUGUGAUGCCCUUAGAUGUUCUGGGCCACACGCGCGCUACACUGAUGUAUUCGACGAGUUUAUAGCCUUGGCCGACAGGCCCGAGUAAUCUUUGAAAUUUCAUCAUGAUGGGCAUAGAUCAUUGCAAUUGUUGGUCUUCAACGAGGAAUUCCUAGUAAGCGCGAGUCAUCAGCUCGCGUUUAGUACGUCCCUGCACUUUGUACACACCGCCCGUCGCUCCUACCGAUUGAAUGAUCUGGUGAAAUGUUCGGAUCGCGGCAACGUGGGCGGUUCGCUGCCCGCGACGUCGCGAGAAGUCCAUUGAACCUUAUCAUUUAGAGGAAGGACAAGUCGUAACAAGGUUUUCGUAGGUGAACCUGCGAAAG